CAUGGGUUGGUCAGUUUCUCUUUCUCUCUCUCUCUCUUUACAAUUAACGUGUUGAAGAAACCAAGUCAGUUGUCCUAGGUAAAGUUUCUCACAUGUUGGAUUUUGCUGAUUAAAUCCUUGUGUGGUUAUUGAACCUAGUUUUCUGUGGCCUAUAUUUAUACAAGCUAGUUAUUAGAUCUUUCUAGACAUUUUAAAGAUCUAGAGAAAUGUAUGAAAAAUUACCUGCAUUAUCCCAUGUAAGUGUCAGUAAAACUGAGACCUUCCCUCUUGCAAUUAUUAUUUAAGUCUAAUAAAUGCUGAUUGAGUCUUUUCUAUGCUGAGGUUCUCUGACACAUGACCUAGGCGUUCUGCAAAUCAAUAAAAUUCAAGUUCUGUCUUUAAGUGCUUACAAUCAUUCCCUGUUAUACAGCAGCAAAGCUGGCCAGAUUGCUCAAGACUCCCUGGGACUGUUUCCUCUGUAACAUCCUGACCCUAACGUAGGCAGACAGAGCAGCUCUCUGGUGGGAAAUAGCUUUUCCUAAGACAUGAAAGCCAUCAGUGUUUAUCAUCUCUUCGGGCAUCAGGAACGGAGUGUGACUAAUGAAAUGGCACAGCUGGUCCUACAGAUGCUGAGCAGAACAGAUUGCCACUUCACUGAUUCUUCCCUUUGUAAUGCUUCCCAUAAAUCUAACUUCCCUUUGAAAAUGAUUUGCUUUCCUGGAUUCCCUUACCUCACCAUUGUAAAGACCUUGAUUAAUUUGAAUUAAAAUACUCAAUACAAAAUGAUUAAUUUGUUUAGCAAUUACAGGUUUUAAUAUCCUGUAGUAUGAUAUAGUUCAAUCUUUCUAAGUUUUGCUACUGACUUCUGUCUCAAAAGGAGAUUUGAAAGUGUGAAAGCUUGAGUUCUUGUGACUCUGAGAAUUUUUAUAUUGG
rnacentral:lncRNA from 1 species